CCCCCGCUUCACUUGAAGGUUCUCGAUCAAUAGUGCUGUGAGCUGCUUGCCCCAUGUACCAGUAAGAUAGCUUCACUGUAGAUGUCAAGUUUCUUCUGUCCUUCAAAAGAAAAACAACACUUUAUGACUGCAUUUUCCUAAGGAAUGUAAGAGGAAGAUCUCUCCUGGGAAUGGGCAGAGUCUGAAUCUUUUCUGAUUCCAGAGCUGCUAUUCCACAUAUGAGUGAGAUC